UCUCCUGUAAUCAAUCACCUAGCCUGAAGAGGGUUGUCCCUAAGAGGUCCCUAUGAGGGUGCAUCUCUAUGAGGUGUUCAGAGGAAUGCGUGGCCUCUCACCUGGACCUCCUGGACCUAUCCCAUUUCAGGGCAUUUAGGAGAUGGGCUGAGUCAAUGUGUGCAUGGAGCCUACAGCCAGCCACCAGCUUCAAGCUCGGCAGAGAGCCACUGCCCUGGGUGAUUGGUGGUUGUUAAAAUGGCAAAAGAAAGCCUUGAGGAGGUAUUCCCCUCAGGGUCCUUCCAUGGAUCACUGGACUUCAUGCUCGGUUCCUGGUGGAUGGUGCACGCAAAGAAAACUGGGUUUAAUGAACUGUAGAUGGAAGCCUUCUCCUUCCUACCGAUGCUGUGCUGCAUAUUGUGCCCUCACGGAGCACCGCCAUCAGAAGA